UAUUUGUCCAAGCAUUAUUAUUAGUAACAUUAACAUGAAACCAUUUUAAAAGCAUUUUAUAUUGAUCAAGAGUGUUUCAACUAAACUUUUUUCAAAUUUUAUUUUAAAUCAUUAUAGGACUUUUAUAUUGUAAAUGGUUCCUGCUUAUCCAAAGCUCCUUCUAAUAUAUUCAAUAUGUUAUAUAAUUUUUUAAAAUACUUUGGAAUAAAAGAGUAUGAUUAAGAAAAUGAUUAGGUUGUUUUCAUCUUCGUUUAAUUAAUUUUAUUUAUUUUUCUAAAACACUUUUAUUUCAGUUUAGUUUCAGUUUAAUUAAAAUGAAUACUUGUUCCAUUUGUCAACUAACCUCAUUUACAAGUUUAUCCUGUGCUUUAUGUACAAAAAUUGUUGGCACCAAAUGUCAAGGUAUUAGAAUCAAUGAAUACAAUGUGUGAAUACAAUGCUGUGUAUAAAACUUGUACAGGUCCAGCUAUAAACCCCUGGUAAACCUUAUUAUUUUGCCAGAACCAGGUAUGCAAAAAGUUUCAUUUUUAGAAGGGACAGGGCUGAAGCCCUAGUCACUUACUAUAUCUGUUAACAGUUUUCAAAUUCCACUUUUUUGUACAUAUUUUUGUUACACACUCUCAUUAUUAUGAUGUUAUUUUCUUUUUAAUUACACAGUUUCACACACAACAUUUACAAAGCUAGUGGUUCUAUAAAAAAUUAAGGAAAGAAUAAAUUUUAGAGUUGUCAUCGGCUAAAAAGAUAACGUUUAAUACAAAAGUCGCAUUCAUAUCUAAGAACAGGUAACGUGACACCAGGUUUUUAAACAGGUGAGUUUUAUCGCAUUUAUUUCAAUUUUAUUUUAUUAAUGAUUGUUUUAUUUAACUAAUUUUUGUUUCGUAAAUACCUAAUAUUUACCAUUCAAAUUUAAAUAUUUUUUGUAAAUAAAACAUUAAAUCAUCGGAUUUAGUUGAUGAACCUAUUGAACCUCGGAUUUAGUUGAUGAACUAUUGUCUACUGUUGAAACAUGAUUUGAUUCAGUCAAUUUUUAUUAUUUGAAUUUUACUGUAUUAAUCAUUAGUCAACAGUUAGCGAGAAACUGGUGCUCUACGUAAUUGAGAUUAAUUGAUGAACAUUUCAAUCGUCACCGAAAAUUGAAUUUUCCUGUUUGUUGCAGGCUUGUUUUCCUUUAAUUAGGAGUAUGGUAGACUUAAAGAAGCAGUUCAUAUCUAAACGACACAAACUGUCAAAAGCAAGAGAAAUAAAGAAAAAAAGAGUUUUAUAGCGACAGAACUUAUUUUAAUUGAAUAAAUGUUCAAAACUUUAGUUUAGAAAAUAUAUUUUUUAUGCAUAAUGUUGUA